GAGUUUGAUCGUGGCUCAGGACGAACGCUGGCGGCGUGCUUAACACAUGCAAGUCGAACGAGAAUCUACUGAAAGAGUUUUUCGGACAAUGGAAGUAGAGGAAAGUGGCGGACGGGUGAGUAACGCGUGAGGAACCUGCCUUGAAGAGGGGACAACAGUUGGAAACGACUGCUAAUACCGCAUGAUGCAUAAGGGUCGCAUGAUUCUUAUGCCAAAGAUUUAUCGCUUCAAGAUGGCCUCGCGUCCUGAUUAGCUAG
rnacentral:rRNA from 1 species